rnacentral:rRNA from 1 species
AUGGCUUCCACCGCUCUCUCCUCGGCCCUCUCCCUCCUCCACGCCAAGCCCGCCACCACCUCCCUGCCCCGGCCACACCCAUUCUUCCCCAUCCACGGUCACCGCCCCUCCGUCGCCGUCGCUUGCACCUCAACCGCCGCGGCCUCCCCGAAGGUGCUGGAGCUGGGGGACGCCAUCGCGGGGCUGACCCUGGAGGAGGCGCGCGGGCUGGUGGACCACCUGCAGGAGCGCCUGGGCGUGUCGGCGGCCGCGUUCGCGCCCGCCGCCGCCGUGGCCGCCCCGUCCGGACCGGCGGCCGAGGCCGAGGCGCCCGCGGAGCAGACGGAGUUCGACGUGGUGAUCGAGGAGGUGCCGAGCAGCGCCCGCAUCGCGACCAUCAAGGUGGUGCGCGCGCUGACCAACCUGGCGCUCAAGGACGCCAAGGACCUCAUCGAGGGCCUCCCCAAGAAGCUCAAGGAGGCCGUCGGCAAGGACGAGGCCGAGGACGCCAAGAAGCAGCUCGAGGCCGUCGGCGCCAAGGUCACCGUCGCCUGA